AAGAGUAAAGCUGUAUUAAAAGCGGCUCACUUACAAUGAGCAGGUUCCUGUUUAGGUACUCUUU
rnacentral:tRNA from 1 species